rnacentral:tRNA from 1 species
GCCCGGGUGAUGGAACGGUAGACAGCGGGGCCUUAAAAGCCCCUGCCCUUCGGGGCGUGUGGGUUCGAAUCCCACCCCGGGCACCU